AUUGAACGCUGGCGGCAUGCCUUACACAUGCAAGUCGAACGGUAACAGGUUAAGCUGACGAGUGGCGGACGGGUGAGUAAUGUAUCGGAACGUGCCCAGUCGUGGGGGAUAACUGCUCGAAAGAGCAGCUAAUACCGCAUACGACCUGAGGGUGAAAGCGGGGGAUCGCAAGACCUCGCGCGAUUGGAGCGGCCGAUAUCAGAUUAGGUAGUUGGUGAGGUAAAGGCUCACCAAGCCGACGAUCUGUAGCUGGUCUGAGAGGACGACCAGCCACACUGGGACUGAGACACGGCCCAGACUCCUACGGGAGGCAGCAGUGGGGAAUUUUGGACAAUGGGCGCAAGCCUGAUCCAGCCAUGCCGCGUGCGGGAAGAAGGCCUUCGGGUUGUAAACCGCUUUUGUCAGGGAAGAAAAGGUUCUGGCUAAUACCUGGGACUCAUGACGGUACCUGAAGAAUAAGCACCGGCUAACUACGUG
rnacentral:rRNA from 1 species